ensembl:lncRNA
GCUGUCAUUUCCGCACCGGGAUUCGGAGGGAUGGAUCGCCCGCCACGAAGGGGGCUGGUCUCGGUCCCCGAACUGCUCUGUCCCCGGGUGGAACAAUGCUAGUUUUUCUCUGCUAGGCUGCAAUUAACAUCUUACUUGUUCUGGCUGAUACAGGCUUUGUCGGGACCGCGGUGCGGCGACCGAGAAUUUCAAGUGAACUAAAAUCAAGAAUCUUCAUUUUUAUCCUGAACCUGACUCUGCUUAUACACCUGGCUAUGGACAAGCUGCUGUGGGUUCUCUGGACUUCAGUUUCCUCCUAGGAAAGGGUUUGAGUAAACACUUUCUAAAGUUUUUCCUGAUAUCUACUCACUAAAAGAAGGUGUCUCACAAGAAAUGGAAGCAGAGAAAAAUGCAACAAAAUUCUAGACUAAGAGGAGUCACAGUUGUUCCAUUCAAACAUUGGAAAUGCCUCUGCUCAAUCAUCAUUGUUAAAACCUCCAUAUAUUUACCAGUUUUGUCCUUUCUUCCUUGCUAAGUAGUCAUAUGCUAAUGUAAAGACAGCACUUUACAUUCUUAUUCUUCCCUCACUGUGAUCAUUUUUCUUUCUGAGAUUGAGUUUCCACCCUCCAAUAAUGAGGACAAAAACUGAAGCUGUGAGGACCCACAUGGCUAUUGACCUUAACAUGAGAGACUGAGGUCUGUUAAUCACGCAGCAUUCCUGAAUUCUGGUACCUCUCUGGCCCAGGUCCUUACCAUUCCUGACCUACUCACCCCUACUAUUCCUCUUUCUGCCAGAUUCUCCCAUUUUGCCUUUUAGAUCCACUCGCUCUUUGGUACAGUGCUCUCUGGAUCCUCUGUUACUGACACCUAUUCUUUUGUGCAGACAUGAAUGAUGUCUCCUGCAACCAUGUCAAGUGAAGGCCACUUACAUGCAUGAUUCUCCCACACCCUGAUUAACUGGGGUUUGUAGGUGUUGGGAUCAGUGCCCUUGCACUCCAUUGCUGGUUUCAAAUCUUUACUCAUCUCAUUUUGACAUCCAUUUUCCUAGAGUUAUCCAUUUCCCUUUGCCAGCUUCACCUCUUCCUACUUUCUAUUAUCUACUGACAUUCAUUUUUGCUUUUCGUUCAUGCAGGCCUUUAACUGAUGACUCCCAGCUUCCCUCUCCAUCCAAGUCCCAGUCUUCCUUCUCAAGCCUCUAGCAUCCAUGUAGAUGGCUUGUAUUGCACACAAACUUCUUGGUUCCAUUUUUGUAUUUCCCUUCAUACCCACUCAAUCACAUGUUCCUCUGGUCUUUAACUAAAGAGGUCAUAACCCAUGACUGUACCACCUCCAGUAUUUCAAAUUUAAGGUUUCAAUUCUCUAAGUACAACCUUCGACUCUGUAUACACACCUUCUCAAUAACCACAUAGAACCAAGUCUUCCAUAAAAUUUAGAUCUCUGAUCCAUUGCUUCCACCAGUUUCUCCCCUGUCUUCUCCUCCCUUGUACCUUGUGGUUGGCAGCCACUAAUCUAACCCCCAGUGAUCCCUAUUUCCUGUUAUUCAUGCUCUUGUGUAAUCAUCUCCCACGCAGUGUGGGCUAGAUUUAGAAACUUGCCUCUAACAAGUAGAAUAUGGCAGUACUAAUGAGAUGUCACUUCCAAGGUUAGGGUAUAAAAUGGCUGUGUCUUCCAUCUUAAGAGCUUUUCUGCCCCCCCUUAAAUCACUUCAUCUGCUGUCAGGCAGUUGUGUCAUGCUGUGAGACAGCCCUGUGGGAAGGCUUAUGUGAGUUUGAACAGGGGCAGAUUUUCUGAGGCCUCUCAAUAGCCAUGUGAGUGAGCUCAGAAGUACAAGUUUACACAGUCACAUCUUGAGAUGAUAGUAGCCAUGCCAACAUCUUGGUAGUAACCUUGUGAGAGACCUUGAAUCAAAACCACCCAGCUAAUCUGCUCCUGGUUCCAUAACCUGCAGAAACUAUAACAUACAUACCAGAUGUUUGCUAUUUCCAGUUGCUAAGUUUGGGGAUAACUUGCUGUGUAACAGUAGAUAACUAAUGCAUACCCCAUGGAUUCCAUGCUCAUUACUGUAGUAAUUAACUUACAACCUUCAGCUCUCUCUUACAUUUUGUGGCUGAAUUACCAUGCAUACUAUUCUGUGAAACUGCCCUCUUCAAACCAGCAUCCAUGAAGCCAAACAUUGGUGAAGAAAUGGACAGCCUCUGCGGUCUGAUAGCCCCGUACAAUCACCAACAUCACAUGGCCUCAACACUUGAGUUGUCAAUCUUACCUUUUACUUGUAAGCUGACUUUCCCACUGUACCCUGUGAAUAUUUUGUAACUUUUACUUUAUCAUUAAAACUUAAAA